GGGUCAGUCAGUGCCUUCCUUUUCUUUUUAUUGAAUGUUUGUUUUUAAUGUUUCUGUUAUUUUGUUUGGUUACCCAGAAAAUUAAUAGGAAAGUUUAUUUGAAAUUUGAAAUUUUAAGAAAUUUAUGUUCAUUCUUCUUGUAAAUGAGUACUGAAUCUGUACCGCAUAAUUGGAUCAGUUAAUAUCAUUUUUAAAUAAUUAUCAUAACAAUAUACUACUCUGUGGCAUAGACGAAUAAUAAUCUUUGGAGCAACUUUGGCUGUUUGUUCAUUGAGAAAAUUGAGGAACUAAAGGGAAAGAAAUCAGUCUUAACUGUUUGGAUUAGCUAUUUGCUUAUUUUAUCUGAUGGUUCUUGACAGGGUUGGGAA
rnacentral:misc_RNA from 1 species